GGGGCUGUGGCUCAGUGGUAGAGUGCUUGCCUAGCACGUGUGAGGCACUGGGUUCAAUUCUCAGCACCA
rnacentral:tRNA from 1 species